rnacentral:lncRNA from 1 species
ACAUAUUGUUAUUGUCGGACAUUCAUAUUGAAAAACAAUAUCGAAAUAAUAUACAAAAAUAAAAUAAUAUUUUACUGCUAACCAAGUGAAAUAAAAUUACAACAAUUUUUAGUAAUCGCAUGUGAACAGAUUGAAAUAAGAUCAACAGCAACAACUCCUGAAAAUUUCAAUAGGAUUGGUCAAUUAUUUUGGCUGAAACAAGCGUUGGAACCAUAAUGGAAAGCACAGCC